CUCAGGUGAUUUCAGAAACGCCAUUGGUCUGCCUGAUAAACUAAAAUGGCCGCUAGAGGGCAGCGCGAGACCUUUCAACAAUAUGGCUUCCGUGUAGAGUUAAUUAAACACGGAGAAGUUAAAUGGAUAAUAACAAAACCCUUCAGGGACUGACGACGUGUUGUGCUGCUUUUCAUGCUGUAUUCCUGUUCGAGGCAUGUGAAUGUGUAGUGAUAACGACAUCACAUGACGAGUUUUGGCCCAAAUCUGCGGAACAUAUAAGCAGGUAUCUAAGAAGGAGAGGUGGUGGACAUACACAGUGCAAUCCUGAAAUAAAAAUGCGAACACUCCUCAAGAAAAGAAGACUGGGAAUCAGUUAAAGUUUUGCUUUGUUUAAAAUACAAAAGACCUAAAUAUUCAUAUAAAGGCUUUGCUCCUGUUUACGAAGGACAGAACCUUUAGACAUGUAACCACCCGGAGGUCACAACAUAGUGAUCCACCACCAUGCUGAUAAAUAUCAGCCUUUUUAUUAAUGUUAAUUAUGGGGUCCUUGAUAAAUGUCGUCUUAAUGGCACCGACAGAUGUUUCCACUUAAUCCAACCCACAGUAGCCAGCAGCAUCUUUAAAUGAUUGCUUGAAGUCGAUAAACGGAAGAGAAAACUGGGGUUGAGUCUAGACAAAAGAAAUCUCCAACAAUUGCUUUGGUACUGUAGUUCCUCUAAAAAAAAGUAGGCCAUUUACAUCAAUUGCCAUAUCUUUAUUUGUUAAUGUUAGUGAAUUUGGACACGCUCACUUCAAAUCCCCCACUUUAAUCAGGAAAACAUGUUCGUGUUCUUAUUCUUAUACAACAAAAUCUUUUAUCCUUUUAAAAGGCUUGCAAUCUGGGUGCAUAUUGCUGCCUGAGCUGAAGUUGCUGUAGUCCCAUCUGCCAGUAAAAACAUUGAGGAGUCUGUUGGGAUUUUUUCUCACAUCAGUUUGCCCUCUUUAUUUAGCAAUGUUUGACUUUAAUCAUAAUAAUAUAAAAAAUGCCAUAAUUGGUUUCACACAGAACCUGAUCAUGGUUCUUGGAUUCAGUCGAUGAACACAUGACGUGCACACUAAUAUGGAGGCAUUUGAAAAUACUGUUUUCAUAACAAAAAUGUUAUGUCCACGUUGUCAUUUGAAAAGUUCACACUGAAACAGAGAUUGUUCACAUUACCUGACCAAGUACGUUUAUACAGUUUAAUACUAUUGAGCGUGCCUCCGGAUGUACAGUAGUGAUUACAGAGUACUUCAUAUGGCAUGGAGGAACGCAGAGUUUAUCUUGCGUGUGGCUCUGUUCAGUUGUAAAAGAGUGACAAAAACAGCACUGA